CCUACGGGUGGCAGCAGUGGGGAAUAUUGGGCAAUGGGGGCAACUCUGACCCAGCAACGCCGCGUGAAUGAUGAAGGUCUUCGGAUUGUAAAGUUCUGUGAUCGGGGAUGAACAAAAUGACGGUACCCGAAGAGCAAGCCACGGCUAACUACGUGCCAGCAGCCGCGGUAAUACGUAGGUGGCAAGCGUUAUCCGGAUUGACUGGGGGUAAAGGGCGUGUAUGCGGGUAAGUAAGUCGGAGGUGAAAACCCUGGGCUCAACCUGGGGCCUACCGUCAAAACUGUUAUACUUGAGUACUGGAGAGGCAGACGGAAUUCCUAGUGUAGCGGUGGAAUGCGUAGAUAUUAGGAGGAACAUCAGGGGCGAAGGCGAUCUACUGGACAGUAACUGACGCUGAGGCACGAAAGCGUGGGGAGCAAACAGGAUUAGAUACCCGAGUAGUC
rnacentral:rRNA from 1 species